rnacentral:rRNA from 1 species
GUGGGGAAUAUUGGACAAUGGGGGGAACCCUGAUCCAGCCAUGCCGCGUGUGUGAAGAAGGCCUUUUGGUUGUAAAGCACUUUAAGCGAGGAGGAGGCUACCGAGAUUAAUACUCUUGGAUAGUGGACGUUACUCGCAGAAUAAGCACCGGCUAACUCUGUGCCAGCAGCCGCGGUAAUACAGAGGGUGCAAGCGUUAAUCGGAUUUACUGGGCGUAAAGCGCGCGUAGGUGGCCAAUUAAGUCAAAUGUGAAAUCCCCGAGCUUAACUUGGGAAUUACAUUCGAUACUGGUUGGCUAGAGUAUGGGAGAGGAUGGUAGAAUUCCAGGUGUAGCGGUGAAAUGCGUAGAGAUCUGGAGGAAUACCGAUGGCGAAGGCAGCCAUCUGGCCUAAUACUGACACUGAGGUGCGAAAGCAUGGGGAGCAAACAGGAUUAGAAACCCCUGUAGUCC